rnacentral:lncRNA from 1 species
CCCUUGAGGAGGCCUAAAAUGAAUGAACGCGGCUGUGCCUCCUGAGCAGGCUCACAGUUGUGGGUGGGGGACAGAAGGGUGUCCAUGCCUAAGGUCGACGGCGAUAAGACAGACGUUCUUCCCAGGAGGAGAUCAGUUCCAGAGACGGAGGUCUCGCUAUGUUGCCCAUACUGGUCUCAAAAUUCCUGGCCUCGAGUGAUCCUCCUGUCUCAGUCCCUGAAAUGCUGGGAUUACAGAACAGGUGGAGAGGUAUGAAGAACGAGGAACACUGCCCGGGGAGUUUCUUCCUCUGCAAAAUAAGGGAGUGUGUACUGAAUUACCGUUUCCAGCUCCAACAUCCAGGAUUUCAGCACUACCUGCAGAGUAGUGGGAGGAGAGAUAGAGGAAGAAGUGAAGAUAAGAAACCACUCGAAGCCGGUGUCUGGUGCUGGGACCGUGGUGGCUGGGACGGCAGCAGUCGUGCUGUCCAUCUGCUCUUCCGAGGGGUGGCACAUCCUAGCCUCUAUCUUUUCCCCAGAGAAGAUCCCCCUCGUCUGCUCUUCCCCCGUCUCAGCCUUUUAGUGUGUGAACAGUUCUGGUGUUACUCAGCAACGCUUUUGUUAGCGCCUUUACCAGCAAGUACUUGUUAAACACUUAAAUCUUACAAGUGGAAAGAAAAUUCCGUGGUAAAUUUAAGUACAAAAGUCAACCAAAAUUCUGAGUCUCGGACAAGACUGGUUAAAAAUCGUUCUACAAUGAAACUAAUAAAUUAAAUCAUAUAAAACUUUUA